GAAAGGCAAAGCUCCGACAGCAGGUCGGAGAGCCGCGCACCACAGCGGUUCAUCCGUUGUCACCCCUUGCGAGGGGACAGCGGGGCUGUCGCGGUCACCCCGCUGGGUGCGGGGUCACCGCCGUCCCGCGGGCCCCCCGGGCUGCGCGCCGGGCCUGGCGGGGCAGGGACGGGGAUGUGACGGCAAAAAGAGGUGGUGGAACGACAGCAGAGUGGCGCAGCGGGAGCGUGCUGGGCCCAUAACCCAGAGGUCGAUGGAUCGAAACCAUCCUCUGCUAGCUUUUUUUUUUUUUUAUUAUUUGUUUGUUUUUUGUCCCCUUUGGGGGCCCCGGGGCCGCCGCGGGGCAGGAGGCGGUGACGCAGGAAGGGCGACAGUGGCCGGUUAGCUCAGUUGGUUAGAGCGUGGUGCUAAUAACGCCAAGGUCGCGGGUUCGAUCCCCGUACGGGCCAUCGUGGCUUUGUCUGGAUCUUGAUCUCCUUUUUCCCCCUCUUUUUUUCCCUCCCUUUUGUGGCAGUGACGGUGCAAGGGAGACAGUCUGUAGGUCCUGGCAGAAGGUUCCCCGGCAGAUCUUGUAGUCUCUCCCCCUACUUUCCCUACUCCUCCUUUUGCAGGUGUUCAUUCCUAUUCAAGGAUAAACUUCACUGGAUGUUCAUGACAGUGCACCGGCUCCAGCAGCCCUGCAGACAGUGACCUGCGACUGACCUCAGCUGUGCCAUGGAUGGAUUUUGGUGUGCAGCACCUCUGCGUGGUGGCUGUGGUGGGGCAGGUACUUCUCUUGCCUCCCUUAUCUGGCACAACCUCCUCUUUUGACCUGGCUCAUGAGGCAAAGGGGACUGUAACACUUUAUAAUUACACCAGCACUGGGAUGACUGCCAUGGGAAAGGUCCACCUGAUUUCAGAUAUAGUGCUAAAACCCCAUAAACAGGCACAGGAGGGGAACAGGGCAAGAACAAAUGAAAGAACACUUCCUAACAGACUGUGUGGCCAAAGAAGUUUUGGAAAUAAAAACCAACACUCCUGUAUUACAAA